rnacentral:lncRNA from 1 species
GUAUUUCCAGGCACAUUUCACGAAGCAGAACGCAGUCUUCAGAGAUAUCCACGUGAACGCUGUGAUACGUCUGACCUUCAGUCCGAAGAAGAAACCCAGACCAGUCUUAAAAGAAAGCACAAGUAAAACCCUUUUAUUCACAAACAUAUCUUUGAUUGUUAAGAAUUUAUGAUCUUGUCUUUUAUACAUAUCUGUGGUGCUUGCAUACUGCAAUAUCACCACAUAAUAUAGUCCAAAAAGUGGAAGUUUGUAAACUUUUUAAAAAUGCAAAGUCGUGUACACUUGUGCACUUCAAAAAUUCAUUGUAUACUGUACCUUCUUGCACGUCUCUGUUUCCUGUGUGUGUUGUUAGAAAUCAAACUAACUUUAGGAAACAAUAUGCCAAAAGCAUAUUUACAAUUACUUAAGACCGUUUUUAAUUUCUUUUCUUUAGACCAAAUCCCCUGUACACAUAUACGGACUCAGAGGAUGAGCAGCCUACAAAAAAACUGUUUCUUAAAAAAAUUAUCUUUUUCUAAACAGCCCUCAUCACUCCACAGUCUGCCCCCCAGCCCACUGAUAGCAACCAUCAUAAUGCCCCACCCAGCUUCCGGCACCUUUCGCCACUCCGGCACAAACCGACACAGCUUUGCGAUCUCGCCAGCAUGCAGAGUCUGAUGUCUUCCCUAUAGAUGAUUCCAGAGACUCUGUGAGGCCACUAUUACAAGGCAAGUUUGAAAAUCUUGGAAUUUCACAGUUUAGAUGGUAUGACAAAUAUAUGUGACAGGCAAAAACUAGUAAACACUUUUAGCAGUUACAAGAACUAACAAAUGAAUAGGAAUAGAAAUACAUUGUACUGCCAAUACUUUGGUUUAUUCUUUGUAUGACUUGAAAAUCAGGCUUUAGGGAAAACUAAAUGACAUGUUUCUAUCAUCAAUUACAUGAAGUAAACACACAAGCACUUGCAUACACAUUUAAGACAUGAGACACGCUAAUUCCAUCUCAUAAAAUGUGUCUAUAGGUGAGACGCUUUGCGUUGAUUGGUGCUGCUGGACCACACUGGAGGUGCGAGUCCGCCGUGUAAUGGUUUAUGCCAUUACAAAGGAGCUGGCCUCUGUACUCAACUGGGCAGGGGAAAAAAAAACAAGGACCAGACAAAGCAAAAAAGGGCAUUUAAAGAGACAGCGCUGUGCAGAUGCAUAUUUGGUAAGUUUUAACAUUUAUUGUAGUUUUAUGAGCCUAAAGUGAACAAUAAAGGGAUCAAUUGAUGUGCUGGGUGCGUUUCACAUUUCCUAUGUCUGUUUUUUGCUAUAUUACUUUGUCUUUCUUAAUAACAAGACUUUCAUGUCCGGUUAAUCUGGAGAUGGAGUCUUUGGUCUUCGGCUUGUUUUGUCCUCGGGUUGUACACUUUGUACAGCCCGAGGACCCCAUGUUUUCUUUUUUUUUUUUUUUUUUAAAGGAUACACGGCACACCAUGCUAAGACAUAUCACAUUUUCAGCUUAUAGCUCUUUGGGAAUCAAAUGCGGCAGUUUGCUGAUUUCCGCCUGGUGAUUUUCAUGUUUAUCAGCCUAGGAGUUUACAUACUUUCUCCCUGCUGAAGACCGUUAACAAGAGCUUAUUCAUGUGCUCUAAUUCCCUUUUUUUUGUCUUUGUUUUUUGUGUGUGUCUAUUUUUGUCCUAGAUGGCCUGGCGCAGCAGGUAGGGGCGAACUCUAUGUCUGAGUUGGUCUUUGCUCAAGCAGUCCAGAAAUGGCUCAGAUAUGCUCCAGAUCGUACGGGUGGCGCGCAGGACGCACAUCAUCCAUCCCCAUCCCGGAGUAAAUAAUAAAAAGUGACGUGAAACAUAGAAAUGUAAAUAGGAAACUUUGUCUUUUAAUAAAGUAUUUUGCAAAUGAUACAUGUCUAUUGACCUUUUUUGUUUUUGGGGGUUUUUUUUCAAUAAAAAGCAACUGUACGAAAGAGGUGGAAAAUCAAUACCACAGCUCAACAGUGUUUCAAUAUCAGAAUCUGACAUUGUUUCAAUGUCAACAGUGUAAGAAAAUAUAACGUCGAAUCAACGUCAGGUUUCAACAUUGAUUCAACAUCAAAACCUGACGUUGUUUCAACGUUAAAAAUGGGUGCAAGAGUGAUGUUGGGUCAACGUCACACUUCAACGUUGCUUCAAUGACGUCGCCUGAUAUUGACUCAACAUUGUCUCAAUGUUUCCUUGCUAUCUGGGUAGUCUGAUUUAAGUACGAUACCUUUGGCCAGGGAUUAAUCUGGUACAUCGCUUCACUGCAGUCUUACAUAUUAUCCCCACACCUGAAUAAAAAAUACUGAUAUUUACAUAUAACACAUUCAGCUGAUGCAGCCUGACUCAAUCUGAUUCCAGAUGUUCAGCACACACAGAGACACAGAGGGACUGUUUAAAGUUUAGUGUUAACCUGAGUCACUGAUCAUUUACAGUAUUACAGAGUCUGGCAGUCUUUGCAUGAUGUCCACGUCACUGUAAGUCUCUAGCUGACUCUCAGGUGUGACAGGUGUGCCAGCAGGAAAGAGUAAUAAUAACCUGCAUCCUGAGGUUUGUCAUGCAGGAUUAAAGGAGCCAGGCUUUGUUCACACAGCUAGGAUUGUAUUUUACACUGACCCUGGGUCAGUAUAAGUAUCAUACAGUUUAAACGAAGCACUGAAACUUGCACAUAUUUAUUACAGAUGCAUUGAAGCUAAUCGAGAUAUUUACUGUUAAUCUGUGGCUGCGAUUAAUCACUUUACUGGAAACUUUAUUAACUAGUAACUUCAUCAGUCAUGACAGAAGCUAAUAUUUCUGUCCCAACAUCGUUUAAACAGUAACAGCUUUACUACAAUAUAAGCUAACGUUUACACCGUAACUUUAAGCUAGCACCAUAAAGACGGUAAAACACGUAAUAAUAUCUACAAAUGCAUCUUAAAGCUGUUAUAUUAGCACUCGCUGUAUUACUAACAUAACCACAUUAACAUUAUUGACACUCGCUGACUUUUAAUAGUCAUUCUAUAAAUGCCGUCCGUUUAAAUGGUCUUACCUGUAACACUGCUGUAUCCACCGGAUUCCAGCCAGAGUGGAUUCUGGAGUCUUCCACGCUCCUGUUACUGAUCCUCCAUCUGGAUGGAUGAUAACAACCUUCUGAACAAUCUAGCAGGUGGAUGGCCCAUAUCUAUGGGACUGAUUUCUGCUAAUAACGCCCAUUGUAUGGACUGAUAACAGCCGAAGCGGGUGAAUAAAGUCACCCAGUUGCUAGCUGUGCCAUUACCCAGCAUACACCUCUCCCUCCAUAAAUGCAAUAAACGAUACAAAAGUAAUAGCCUAUAAUUAAUUUAGCUGCUGUAUCUGCUGUUUCUCAGGUAGUUGUUUACAUUAUAUAAUAUAUUGUGUUCAGUACACGUCACUACAAUGUGAUUUCGGAAAUAUAUAAAUAUACGAACAACAGGCUCUUCCGCGGAAAUCUCUUGUCGUCAAUAAACAACGAUUAGGGAGCUCUAUAGUAUUCAAUAGGAGGACCCUGCACGUCAAUUCUCGACGCCAGGGGGGUACCCUGCGCGUCGAUAAGUGAAGCAGAGAGAGCCUGACCAUGCGUCACACAUUUGACGAGUUGGGAGUGAGAACGUGUUGGCUUUUCAGAACAUACUGAUACUGGUGAGUGUGUGCUUGUUCAG